rnacentral:rRNA from 1 species
AACCUGCCUUCAGGAUGGGGACGAACAGACGGAAACGACUGCUAAUACCGAAUACGUUCCACGGCCGCAUGACCUGUGGAAGAAAGGGUAGCCUCUACCUGUAAGCUAUCGCCUGAAGAGGGGUUUGCGUCUGAUUAGGCAGUUGGUGGGGUAACGGCCCACCAAACCAACGAUCAGUAGCCGGUCUGAGAGGAUGAACGGCCACACUGGAACUGAGACACGGUCCAG